rnacentral:lncRNA from 1 species
UUUUUCACAUUUUUUUAAUUCUGAUUUUAUUUUCUUUUAUUUCUUUUAAUUCCAUUUCAUUUUAAAAAUUCAUAUCUCCUUCAUUAUUGGUCCAAAAAAUAUGAGACCAAUUUCAUUUUUCUUCUUUUAAUUUCUAGUUUCUAAAAAUGAUUUUUAAUAUAUUUUAUUUUAUCAUUUGAUAUUUUUUAAGAAUUUUCUCUUUUCUGCCUAUUUUUAAUUCACUUUAAAUAGUUUUUGAUAUUCAAAAAAUACAAAAAUAUUUUUCCAACCUCUUUGAAUGAUGAUAGAUCUAUGAAAAAUAUUCUCAUC